rnacentral:rRNA from 1 species
GUCUCAGGCCGUAUCAGCCUGAAGGCGCCCGAUCUCGUCUGAUCUCGGAAAGCUAAGCAGGGUCGGGCCUGGUUAGUAUCUUGGAUGGGAGACCACCUGGGAAUCCCGGGUGCUCGAGGCU